ACUCCUACGGGAGGCAGCAGUGGGGAAUAUUGCACAAUGGGGGAAACCCUGAUGCAGCCAUGCCGCGUGUGUGAAGAAGGCCUUCGGGUUGUAAAGCACUUUCAGUAGGGAGGAAGGUAGUGUAGUUAAACACCUGCAUUAUUUGACGUUACCUACAGAAGAGCACCGGCUAACUUCGUGCCAGCAGCCGCGGUAAUACGAAGGGUGCAAGCGUUAAUCGGAAUUACUGGGCGUAAAGCGCGCGUAGGUGGCUUGAUAAGUUGGAUGUGAAAUCCCCGGGCUCAACCUGGGAACUGCAUCCAAAACUGUCUGGCUAGAGUGCGGUAGAGGGGUAGUGGAAUUUUCCAGUGUAGCGGUGAAAAUGCGUAGAUAUUGGAAGGAACACCAGUGCGAAGGCGACUACCUGGACUGACACUGACACUGAGGUGCGAAAGCGUGGGGAGC
rnacentral:rRNA from 1 species